rnacentral:rRNA from 1 species
UACGUAGGUGGCGAGCGUUAUCCGGAUUUACUGGGCGUAAAGUGGGUGCAGACGGUCUUUCAAGUCGGAUGUAAAAUCUCUCAGCUCAACUGGGAGGGACCACCCGAAACUGUUAGACUAGAGGACAACAGAGGGAGGUAGAAUUCCCGGUGUAGUGGUGGAAUGCGUAGAUAUCGGGAGGAAUACCAGUGGCGAAGGCGGCCUCCUGGGUUGUUUCUGACGUUCAUGCCCGAAGGUGUGGGGAG